rnacentral:rRNA from 1 species
UAGGUAGGCUGAGGAGCAAAAGGGAGGAAUCCGCCCAAGGAGGGGCUCACGUCUGAUUAGCUAGUUGGUGAGGCAAUGGCUUACCAAGGCUCCGAUCAGUAGUUGGUCUGAGAGGAUGAUCAGCCACACUGGGACUGAGACACGGCCCAGACUCCUACGGGAGGCAGCAUUGAGGAAUUUUCCGCAAUGGGCGAAAGCCUGACGGAGCAAUGCCGCGUGAAGGAAGAAUGCUCACGGGUCGUAAACUUCUUUUCUCGGAGAAGAAUAAAUGACGGUAUCUG